rnacentral:lncRNA from 1 species
GAGAACAUGUGAAAGCAAGGAAAUAAGGGGAAAAAAGCCCAUUGAAGUCGAAUGGGUUUGAAGAAUUACCUCCUUGAAGAGGUUGGUGGAGAUUAAAUUAAAAGAGGGGAGGUUCUCUGCCUCUGCUGAGCUUCUUCCACUGGAGUGUCCUCGGGUCGCGAGCAGAAGGGUCUCCUCAUCUCAUCUGGCCAAUCUCGCUGCACAUCUAAAUGUUGGGCUAAAAAAACUGCAUUCAUUCUCGCCAUUGCUGCCUGUUUCUUGUGCUUGAUUCCCUGUUCCUCUGCUUUCCCCCUGGUCUCUUCCAUUCUCUCUCUAGAACAUACAAGGAUUAGCUUGUACCAGGAAGAGCUCUUUUUCUCUAGAGGCUUAUCUCUGUCGCUAGGAUUUAGCUACAAUUGCUCUGUCUCUCUCUAUAUAUAUUGGGUACAAGGUCUUUC